rnacentral:rRNA from 1 species
UAGGGAAUAUUGGGCAAUGGUCGGAAGACUGACCCAGCCAUGCCGCGUGCAGGAAGACGGCCUAUUGGGUUGUAAACUGCUUUUAUCUGGGAAGAAAAAGUCCAUGCGUGGAAAAUUGCCGGUACCAGAUGAAUAAGCACCGGCUAACUC